rnacentral:rRNA from 1 species
UACGAAGGGGGCGAGCGUUGUUCGGAUUUACUGGGCGUAAAGGGCGCGCAGGCGGCUCAUUUUGUCAGGCGUGAAAACCCCGGGCUUAACCUGGGAACUGCGUUUGAUACGGAUGGGCUAGAGUUCGGGAGAGGAGAGUGGAAUUCCCAGUGUAGAGGUGAAAUUCGUAGAUAUUGGGAAGAACACCGGUGGCGAAGGCGGCUCUCUGGACCGAUACUGACGCUGAGGCGCGAAAGCGUGGGGAGCAAACAGG